rnacentral:misc_RNA from 1 species
GUGAAUCAUCGAAUCUUUGAACGCACAUUGCGCCCAUUAGUAUUCUAGUGGGCAUGCCUGUUCGAGCGUCAUUUCAACCCUCAAGCCUUAGUUGCUUGGUGUUGGGAGCUUAUCUUGCCGAAAGGCGGGACAACUCCCUAAAUUUAUCGGCGGAGUCGCGGUGACCCCAAGCGUAGUAAAUUAUUUUUUCCUCGCUUUAGGUGUUAACGCUGGCUUUUUCUGCCGUUAAACCCCCCCAAAUAUUUUAAUGGUUGACCUCGGAUCAGGUAGGACUACCCGCUGAACUUAAGCAUAUCAAUA